CUCACUACUGCACUUGACUAGUC
rnacentral:piRNA from 1 species